AAUAUGCUAGUGUAUACGAAUAAAUAACUAAUUUUUUGUUAAUAUGUAUUUACUGCAAAUUUUUUUAUAGAUUGAAUACGCAUUUAGUAGAUAUUCGCAAGUAUAUCCAAAUGUUGUUGUUGUUCCCAAAGAGCAAAGGCUUCAACUACUCCGGCCUUAUCGAUGGGCUUUAUCGCAAUAAAUCUUAUCAUUAUCCAUAUUUAUAAUUCGUGAAAAUGAUGCUGGAUGCAGUGGUGGCGGCGGCGGCGGCGGCGCCGAGUAUAAUCAUCGCCUGCAACAAAUGCUGUUGACGAUCAUGUUCAUGUAAACGUUGACGAUCACGAUCACGAUCAUCCCACAUGUCUCCUAGUACUACUUACUCCUCCUUUCUACUAUUGUACAGUUCAUAAGCUAAGCUCGCUCUCUCACAAGAUUUAUAUACUCGUACAUAUAUACAAAUGUACUCUAGUCUCAUUAUACUAGACAUUUAACAUGCAGACAUACAUAUGUACGUACGUACUUAUACAUAGAUAGUGUAUUUGUUUGUAAGCGCUAACAAAUUAUUUAAAUAGCGAAAAAAUUACGUAAACGUUGAAGCGUUGAAAUUAUAGUUGGAAGUUGAAAGUUGGCAUGUGAUGGAUUGUAUGUAUAUUUGUAGAAAAUGUUUGACGAUCUCUAUUUAGCUACUAUUUAAUGAUUAACAAAACGUGUUGUUGUUGGCCCGAAAAAGUGCAAAACAGUAAAAAAAAAACAAGAAAUGUUUGGAGGAAGAAACUAGCCUCGAAAAUCAAAUAAAAUUUAAGUGAUUCAGUAGUUUUACGAGAAAAAGCAAAAAAUAAAAAUAAUUAAAACGAAGUAAAAUACAAAAAAAAAAACAAAAAUAUAGUUCAUGGAUUCACAAGGUGUCGAUUUUCAGUGAUUCUUAGGAAGCUCAAAACAUUUUUACACGUUUUAAAAUUUGUUGACUUAUGACGAUAUAACUAACUAUUCAGCCAUAUCGCCAAUUCCAUGUGAAUAAAUCGUUCCCAUAAUUUAAUAGGCAAAACCAAAAUAAAUUGGAGAAAUUUGUUUUGGUUCUGCUUUAUAAUAUUUGGCAAUAUUUCUUCUCAUGGAAUUCGGGAUAAGGCCGAUAUGUCACCUUGUGAAUAUCCUAAGUAUGUUGUUAUCGUGUGGCAGAAAAUAUUUGCACUCGGGGAAGUAAUGUUUAUGGGAAAAAGUUUAUAUUGAGUAUAAUCGGCUCCUAUGUUGAAUGUCGUCAUCGUCAUUGUCCACGAUCGUCAGCGUAUCAGUAAAAUGGCUGACGAUGGCCGUAAAAAA